CCACGGCUCUAUUCGCCCGCACACGACCCGCGUCACUCCGUUCAACGUUACAUCCAGCGGGAGUCACGCUCCACAGUUCUGGUGGCACUAGAGGAGCCCGUCUACAUGCUGCCGGAGACGUCGGGAGACCAUGAGGAUGACAGAUGCAGUGCAGUUGGGUUAUUAACCGGCGGUCCCUCCUCCUCGCGCUCGUCCGUUCACUGUGCGACAGUGGGUUAAAUGCCAUACACAGCUGCGUCCUGAUGAUUGGCUCAGAAGUAGAAGUUCUCAGAUGCGACCACGGGGGACAUAUAGUAAGGGGUGUACCAGGCUAUAUUAAGUAUGGACAUAUUCGAGUGUCCUCAUAGUUUCAAACUAAAUAGGAUUUCAUGGACGUUUGUAAUUUCAUGUAGCUUACCAUAUUACAACAGCAAUGUCUGAAUACAGGUCCCCUUAUCUUCAGACUAA